AAUUCGAUUGUUUGAUCAUGGCUCAGGAUGAACGCUAGCGGCAGGCUUAACACAUGCAAGUCGAGGGGCAGCACAGGUAGCAAUACUGGGUGGCGACCGGCAAACGGGUGCGGAACACGUACGCAACCUUCCUUUAACUGGAGAAUAGCCCCUCGAAAGAGGGAUUAAUACUCCGUAACAUGUUGAUAAGGCAUCUUAUUAAUAUUAUAGCCUUCGGGCGGUUGAAGAUGGGCGUGCGCCUGAUUAGAUAGUUGGCGGGGUAACGGCCCACCAAGUCUGCGAUCAGUAACUGGUGUGAGAGCACGACCAGUCACACGGGCACUGAGACACGGGCCCGACUCCUACGGGAGGCAGCAGUAAGGAAUAUUGGUCAAUGGACGAAAGUCUGAACCAGCCAUGCCGCGUGGAGGAUUAAGGCCCUCUGGGUUGUAAACUCCUUUUAUCUGGGAAGAAAUGCCAUUUUUCUAAAUGGUUUGACGGUACCAGAGGAAUAAGCACCGGCUAACUCCGUGCCAGCAGCCGCGGUAAUACGGAGGGUGCAAGCGUUAUCCGGAUUCACUGGGUUUAAAGGGUGCGUAGGCGGGCAGGUAAGUCCGUGGUGAAAUCUCUGAGCUUAACUCAGAAACUGCCAUGGAUACUAUUUGUCUUGAAUACUGUGGAGGUAAGCGGAAUAUGUCAUGUAGCGGUGAAAUGCUUAGAUAUGACAUGGAACACCAAUUGCGAAGGCAGCUUACUACACAGUUAUUGACGCCGA
rnacentral:rRNA from 1 species